AUGACGGAUGAUGAUGGACCUUGGUAUGGCGGAUUAUUCGAUGAGUGGGAUAAGGAGCAUCGUGCUCGUGCCAUUGAGAACGGACAUCUUAUAGUUGCUAUGCGCAUGAGGGGACAUUCGGCUGAUGACUUUACUUACGACCCGCGGUACGAGCCUUACAUUCGGAGAUUGGUUCUUCUCCCAUUCGUGUUGCAGUUUAAGCGACGCGCUCCGCCAGUGAACCACGCGGCGCUGACCGCACUUGUGGAUCGUUGGAGGCCGGAGACUCACUCGUUCCACCUUCCAUUUGGGGAGAUGACGAUGACCCUUGAGGACAUGGCUAUGAUAAGCGGCCUUCCUAUCAAUGGACAAGCUGUUACCGGUCGUGUCAGUGCCGUUAAUUGGCGAGAACGGACUGGCAUUUUAAUUGGUGUUCAGCCCGACGCCCCUGAGGAAGGCAAGGCCGAUACCGCGAGAGUGAGGCAUUCUUGGCUAAAAGCGGUUAGAGGAAACACCAAUCCGUGUCCUCAGGGUGCUAAUGACGUGGUUGUGCAGCAGUACGCGCGGGCCUAUCUUUGGUAUGUGCUAACCAAGGUAGUCUUCUCAGAUGCAACCGGGAACUCGGCCCUCUGGAUGUUCCUGAAGCUACUCAAUAACUGGGAUACCCAGUAUAGCUGGGGUUCGGCCGCACUAGCAUAUUUGUAUCAUCAGCUUGACUUGGCGUGUCGCAGGAAGGGAGAUACAUCCUCAUUGGCUGGGUUUGUUUGGAGCCUAUCCGUGUGGAUGUGGGAUCGGAUCCCGGUUGGACGGCCCGAUAUCAAGGACCCCAACAUGGCAAACCCACGGGGUAAUCCAGACGGGCUGCAUGAUGAUGAUCCAUAUCGGCGCCCUACGCUUGCUUACUAUUGGGAACAAGUGACAGUGUACACAGGAAGCUCGCAUGUGCGAUACAAGUGCUAUAUGAACGAGCUGGACACCUUGACUGCUGAGCGGGUAUAG
rnacentral:rRNA from 1 species